rnacentral:rRNA from 1 species
AAUCAACGCUGGCGGCGUGCCUCAGACAUGCAAGUCGAACGAUUAAAGCUCUCUUCGGAGAGUGUAUAGAGUGGCGCACGGGUGAGUAACACGUAAGUAAUCUACCUUUGAGUGGGGAAUAACAGUCGGAAACGACUGCUAAUACCGCAUAAUGCAGCGGCAUCGCAAGAUGACAGUUGUUAAAGGAGCAAUCCGCUUAAAGAGGAGCUUGCGGCAGAUUAGCUAGUUGGUAAGGUAAUGGCUUACCAAGGCUACGAUCUGUAUCCGGUCUAAGAGGACGGUCGGACACACUGACACUGAAUAACGGGUCAGACUCCUACGGGAGGCAGCAGUCGGGAAUUUUGGGCAA